rnacentral:lncRNA from 1 species
UUCAAGCUCAAGGGACAAGGCUUGGAGAGGUUUCAAAGGCUCAAGGGAGGAGAAGGAGAACAUGGGUGGAAGAGGGCAGUGAGGAGAGAGAGAGAGAGAUAAAACCAAUGUGAUGGGUGAGAAAGGAGUAUAAAUAAGCAUGAAUGGUAGCAGCAUGCAAUUGCCACACGACGCACAAGUGGGCAUGCAUGAGGAGAGAGAGGGAGCAAGCAUGGGAGAUAUGAUGAUGGGAUGGAAGCAUGUAUGUGCCAUAUAACACUCAUGCAUGGAGAGAGAAAGCAAGCAUGAGAGAGAAGCAGUAUCCCUAGACCACCAUACACCACCCACGCCCAGCGGUGCUCUCAUCUACCCAUGCUCUCAACGCGCGUCCAGCCAUCUGCGCUCACCAGCAUGCUCA